GACGUAGGGGGCGAGCGUUGUUCGGAAUUACUGGGCGUAAAGGGUGCGUAGGUGGCUAUGCAAGUCAGAAGUGAAAUCCCUGCUCCCAAAGCAGGAACUGCUUUUGAUACUGCGUAGCUAGAGAGCAGAAAGGGGAAGCGGAACUCUGGGAGUAGCGGUGAAAUGCGUAGAUACCCAGGGGAACGCCAGUAGCGAAGGCGGCUUCCUGGUCUGCAUCUGACACUGAGGCACGAAAGCUAGGGUAG
rnacentral:rRNA from 1 species